UACGGGGGGGGGCAAGCGUUGUUCGGAAUUACUGGGCGUAAAGGUCUCGUAGGCGGCCAACUAAGUCCGACGUGAAAUCCCAAGGCUUAACCUUGGAACUGCGUCGGAUACUGGAUGGCUUGAAUUCGGGAGAGGGAUGCAGAAUUCCAGGUGUAGCGGUGAAAUGCGUAGAUAUCUGGAGGAAUACCGGUGGCGAAGGCGGCAUCCUGGACCGACAUUGACGCUGAGGAGCGAAAGCUAGGGGAGCAAACGGG
rnacentral:rRNA from 1 species